GCCGGGCGUGGUGGCGGGCGCCUGUAGUCCCAGUUACUCUGGAGGCUGAGGCAGGAGAAUCACUUGAACCCAGGGGGCAGAGGCUGCAGUGAGCUGAGAUCACGCCACUGUACUCCAGCCUGGGUGACAGAGUGAGACCCUAUCUCAC
rnacentral:SRP_RNA from 1 species